GACGAACGCUGGCGGCGUGCUUAACACAUGCAAGUCGAGCGGCGCGGCGAACGGGUGAGUAACGCGUGAGUAACUGCCCCCCUCUCUGGGAUAACAGUUGGAAACGGCUGCUAAUACCGGAUAGUGGGGGAUGACUCGGGUCCUAUCGGCUUGUUGGUGGGGUGAUGGCCUACCAAGGCUUUGACGGGUAACCGGCCUGGGAGGGUGACCGGUCGAAUUGUGCUGGGAUACGGCCCAGAGGCCUACGGGAGGCAGUAGUGGGGAAUUUUGCACAAUAGGCGCAAGCCUGAUGCAGCGGCGCCGCGUGAGGGAUGAAGGCCUUCGGGUUGUAAACCUUUUUCGCUCAUGGUCGGGUAGUGGGUAAAGAAGCGCCGGCUAACUACGUGCCAGCCGCCGCGGUAAUUC
rnacentral:rRNA from 1 species